rnacentral:rRNA from 1 species
UACGAAGGGGGCAAGCGUUGUUCGGAAUUAUUGGGCGUAAAGGGCGCGUAGGCGGACCUGUAAGUCGAUUGUGAAAUCCCUGGGCUUAACCCGGGAACUGCAGUCGAAACUGCAAGUCUUGAAUGCUCGAGAGGAUGGUAGAAUUCCUGGUGUAGAGGUGAAAUUCGUAGAUAUCAGGAGGAAUACCGGAGGCGAAAGCGGCCAUCUGGCGAGACAUUGACGCGUGAGGCAACGAAAAGUGUGGGGGAUC